AACGAACGCUGGCGGCAGGCUUAACACAUGCAAGUCGAGCGCCCCGCAAGGGGAGCGGCAGACGGGUGAGUAACGCGUGGGAAUCUACCCACCUCUACGGAAUAACGCAUGGAAACGUGUGCUAAUACCGUAUACGUCCUUCGGGAGAAAGAUUUAUCGGAGAUGGAUGAGCCCGCGUUGGAUUAGCUAGUUGGUGGGGUAAAGGCCUACCAAGGCGACGAUCCAUAGCUGGUCUGAGAGGAUGAUAAGCCACACUGGGACUGAGACACGGCCCAGACUCCUACGGGAGGCAGCAGUGGGGAAUAUUGGACAAUGGGCGCAAGCCUGAUCCAGCCAUGCCGCGUGAGUGAUGAAGGCCCUAGGGUUGUAAAGCUCUUUCACCGGUGAAGAUAAUGACGGUAACCGGAGAAGAAGCCCCGGCUAACUUCGUGCCAGCCGCCGCGGUAACAC
rnacentral:rRNA from 1 species